rnacentral:tRNA from 1 species
GUCGCAGUAAUUCAAUCUGGUUUAGAAUGUUCCAUUCAUGCUGGAACAAUAGAGGUUCAAGUCCUCUCUUCGACA